UACGUAGGGUGCAAGCGUUAAUCGGAAUUACUAGGCGUAAAGCGUGCGCAGGCGGUUAUGUAAGACAGGUGUGAAAUCCCCGGGCUUAACCUGGGAACUGCAUUUGUGACUGCAUAGCUAGAGUACGGUAGAGGGGGAUGGAAUUCCGCGUGUAGCAGUGAAAUGCGUAGAUAUGCGGAGGAACACCGAUGGCGAAGGCAAUCCCCUGGACCUGUACUGACGCUCAUGCACGAAAGCGUGGGGAGCAAACAGG
rnacentral:rRNA from 1 species